CACGUAGUUAGCCGUCCCUUUCUGGUAAGAUACCGUCACAGUGUGAACUUUCCACUCUCACACUCGUCCUUCUCUUACAACAGAGCUUUACGAUCCGAAAACCUUCUUCACUCACGCGGCGUUGCUCGGUCAGACUUCCGUCCAUUGCCGAAGAUUCCCUACUGCUGCCUCCCGCAGGAGUCUGGGCCGUGUCUCAGUCCCAGUGUGGCCGAUCACCCUCUCAGGUCGGCUAUGUAUCGUCGCCUUGGUGAGCCGUUACCCCACCAACUAGCUAAUACAACGCAGGUCCAUCUGGUAGUGGUGCAAUUGCACCUUUCAAACAGUUGUCAUGCAACAACUGCUAUUAUGCGGUAUUAGCUAUCGUUUCCAAUAGUUAUCCCCCGCUACCAGGCAGGUUACCUACGCGUUACUCACCCGUUCGCAACUCAUCCAGAGAAGCAAGCUCCUCCUUCAGCGUUCUACUUGCAUGUAUUAGGCACGCCGCCAGCGUUCGU
rnacentral:rRNA from 1 species